GUGAGGAAUAUUGCGCAAUGUCCGAAAGGGUGACGCAGCGACGCCGCGUGGAGGAUGAAGGCCCUAUGGGUCGUAAACUCCUUUUGAGGGGGAAGAAUAGUCCCGUAUAGCGGGAUUUGACGGUACCCCCCGAAUAAGCACCGGCUAACUACGUGCCAGCAGCCGCGGUAAUACGUAGGGUGCGAGCGUUGUCCGGAUUCACUGGGUGUAAAGGGAGCGCAGGCGGAUUGGCAAGUCAUUGGUGAAACUCUCAGGCUCAACUUGAGAACGUACAAUGAUACUGCCGAUCUUGAGUGCGGAAGAGGAAGACGGAAUUCCUGGUGUAGCGGUGAAAUGCGUAGAUAUCAGGAAGAACACCGGUGGCGAAGGCGGUCUUCUGGUCCGCUACUGACGCUCAUGCUCGAAAGCGUGGGGAGCAAACAGGAUUAGAUACCCGAGUAGUCC
rnacentral:rRNA from 1 species